AUUGAACGCUGGCGGCAUGCCUUACACAUGCAAGUCGAACGGCAGCGGACCUUCGGGUGCCGGCGAGUGGCGAACGGGUGAGUAAAGUAUCGGAACGUACCCUAGAGUGGGGGAUAACUAUCCGAAAGGAUAGCUAAUACCGCAUAUUCUAUGCGUAGGAAAGCGGGGGAUCUUCGGACCUCGCGCUCUAGGAGCGGCCGAUAUCAGAUUAGCUAGUUGGUGGGGUAAAGGCCUACCAAGGCGACGAUCUGUAGCGGGUCUGAGAGGAUGAUCCGCCACACUGGGACUGAGACACGGCCCAGACUCCUACGGGAGGCAGCAGUGGGGAAUUUUGGACAAUGGGCGCAAGCCUGAUUCAGCCAUGCCGCGUGAGUGAAGAAGGCCUUCGGGUUGUAAAGCUCUUUCGGCCGGGAAGAAAUCGUGUGGGCUAAUAAUCUGCAUGGAUGACGGUACCGGAAUAAGAAGCACCGGCUAACUACGUGCCAGCCGCCGCGGUAA
rnacentral:rRNA from 1 species